AUUGAACGCUGGCGGCAGGCCUAACACAUGCAAGUCGAGCGAGCGGCGGACGGGUGAGUAAUGUAUGGGGACUGCCCGAUAGAGGGGGAUAACUACUGGAAACGGUGGCUAAUACCGCAUACUAUCGGAUAACCCAUAUGGGAUUAGCUAGUAGGUGGGGUAAAGGCUCACCUAGGCGACGAUCUCUAGCUGGUCUGAGAGGAUGAUCAGCCACACUGGGACUGAGACACGGCCCAGACUCCUACGGAGGCAGCAGUGGGGAAUCUUGGACAAUGGGCGCAAGCCUGACCCAGCAACGCCGCGUGAAUGAAGAAGGUUUUCGGGUUGUAAAGUACUGUCAUUGGGGAGGCGGUAUCCGCACAAGAAGCACCGGCUAACUCCGUGCCAGCAGCCGCGGUAAUAC
rnacentral:rRNA from 1 species